GGCUUAGGUUUUGUAUAAACCAGGGAAACUAGGUAUAAUAGCCGAUAGGUUUCGAUUUCUAGAAUGCAUCAAGAUUUAAACCUCCGGCGCCUACGGAUGGGUCUUUGGCCUAUCAAAUAGUAGUGGGUGUAGCGUACCUACUAGCCUACGACGGGUACGGGUUGUGAGAGCAAGAGCCCGGGGAUGGAUUCAGAGACACGAAUCCAGGCCAAACGGGGUGCAGCACCCGCGAAAACUAUACAAUGCUGGCAACAGCGAUAAGGGAACCUCGAGUGCCAGGUUACAAAUCUGGCUGUCGAGAUGCCUAAAAAGCAUUUCAUAGCAAGGGCCGGGCAAGACCGGUGCCAGCCGCCGCGGUAAAACCGGGGGCUCGAUUGGUAACCGUUAAUAUUGGAUCUAAAGAAUCUGUAUUCGGCCGGAUAAGUCUCUUGAGAAAUCUGGCAGCUUAACUGUCAGGCUUUCAGGAGAUACUGUCUGGCUAGAGGCCGGGGGAGGUGAGAAA
rnacentral:rRNA from 1 species